UUUCAGCACGCACGCAUAACGGUCUGACCGAGUUACCGAGUAUCCGAAGACGGCGCCAGCACGUAGUCUUGAUCAAACGUUCGCCUAACACCGAGGUAUAUGGAUACACCCGAGAAGAGGAGGAAGAACAAGAAAGCGGCAAGGACGCAGCAUCCACAACGAUACUGGCCGCCGAGCUUCCUCGUGAAGCGGAUGUCGCUGUCGGACGACAGGAUGGAGCUUGGUGUUCCGGCACGGCUGAAUCUUCUGGUACUCACUGUGCUCACCGAGAUCUGCAAAGAUGCAUUUGUACUUUAUGUAACUUAUCAGCAAUGUAGACAUCCAAUAUAUUGUGAAAUACAAAUAUAUUUCUCGCGACAAUGAGUGAAUCACACAUUUUUGGAGAAUUCCACAAGAGCGGAAUUAAAUAUCAAUAAAAAGGAAAAUUUAG